AACAGGAUUAGAUACCCUGGUAGUCCACGCUGUAAACGAUGUCGACUUGGAGGUUGUGCCCUUGAGGCGUGGCUUCCGGAGCUAACGCGUUAAGUCGACCGCCUGGGGAGUACGGCCGCAAGGUUAAAACUCAAAUGAAUUGACGGGGGCCCGCACAAGCGGUGGAGCAUGUGGUUUAAUUCGAUGCAACGCGAAGAACCUUACCUACUCUUGACAUCCAGAGAAUUUGCUAGAGAUAGCUUAGUGCCUUCGGGAACUCUGAGACAGGUGCCGCAUGGCUGUCGUCAGCUCGUGUUGUGAAAUGUUGGGUUAAGUCCCGCAACGAGCGCAACCCUUAUCCUUUGUUGCCAGCACGUAAUGGUGGGAACUCAAAGGAGACUGCCGGUGAUAAACCGGAGGAAGGUGGGGAUGACGUCAAGUCAUCAUGGCCCUUACGAGUAGGGCUACACACGUGCUACAAUGGCAUAUACAAAGAGAAGCGAACUCGCGAGAGCAAGCGGACCUCAUAAAGUAUGUCGUAGUCCGGAUUGGAGUCUGCAACUCGACUCCAUGAAGUCGGAAUCGCUAGUAAUCGUAGAUCAGAAUGCUACGGUGAAUACGUUCCCGGGCCUUGUACACGCCGCCCGUCACACCAUGGGAGUGGGUUGCAAAAGAAGUAGGUAGCUUAACCUUCGGGAGGGCGCUUACCACUUUGUGAUUCAUGACUGGGGUGAAGUCGUAACAAGGUAACC
rnacentral:rRNA from 1 species